rnacentral:rRNA from 1 species
CUUGGUCAUUUAGAGGAAGUAAAAGUCGUAACAAGGUUUCCGUAGGUGAACCUGCGGAAGGAUCAUUACUGAUUUGCUUAAUUGCACCACAUGUGUUUUUUAUUGAACAAAUUUCUUUGGUGGCGGGAGCAAUCCUACCGCCAGAGGUUAUAACUAAACCAAACUUUUUAUUUACAGUCAAACUUGAUUUAUUAUUACAAUAGUCAAAACUUUCAACAACGGAUCUCUUGGUUCUCGCAUCGAUGAAGAACGCAGCGAAAUGCGAUACGUAAUAUGAAUUGCAGAUAUUCGUGAAUCAUCGAAUCUUUGAACGCACAUUGCGCCCUUUGGUAUUCCAAAGGGCAUGCCUGCUUGAGCGUCAUUUCUCCCUCAAACCCCCGGGUUUGGUGUUGAGCAAUACGCUAGGUUUGUUUGAAAGAAUUUACGUGGAAACUUAUUUUAAGCGACUUAGGUUUAUCCAAAACGCUUAUUUUGCUAGUGGCCACCACAAUUUAUUUCAUAACUUUGACCUCAAAUCAGGUAGGACUACCCGCUGAACUUAAGCAUAUCAAUAAGCGGAGG